GGUACUCGAGUGGCGAACGGGUGAGUAACACGUGGGUGAUCUGCCCUGUACUUCGGGAUAAGCUUGGGAAACUGGGUCUAAUACCGGAUAUGACGAUCUCUUGGAUGGGGUUGUGGAAAGCUUUUGCGGUAUGGGAUGAGCUCGCGGCCUAUCAGCUUGUUGGUGGGGUAAUGGCCUACCAAGGCGUCGACGGGUAGCCGGCCUGAGAGGGUGUACGGCCACAUUGGGACUGAGAUACGGCCCAGACUCC
rnacentral:rRNA from 1 species